GUGAGUCAUCGAAUCUUUGAACGCACCUUGCGCUCCUUGGUAUUCCGAGGAGCAUGCCUGUUUGAGUGUCAUGAAACUCUCAAACCCAAGUUUUGGAUUUCGAUCCAUGCUUGAGUUUGGAUUUGGAUGUUUGCCGGUGAUAAGCCGACUCAUCUUAAAAGUAUUAGCUAGAUCUGUCUCUAUGACUGGUUUGACUUGGCAUAAUAAGUAUUUUGCUGAGGACAUCUUCGGAUGGCCAGGACCUAGACUAUUGUCUGCUAACUAAACCAUCACUUUAAGUGCAUCUUCGGAUGUUACUCA
rnacentral:misc_RNA from 1 species